UCCGAGUUGACCCCGGCAGUCUCCUACGAGUUCCCGACAUGACUCGCUGGCAACUAACAACAGGGGUUGCGCUCGUUAUAGGACUUAACCUGACACCUCACGGCACGAGCUGACGACAACCAUGCAGCACCUUGUAAUCUGCCCGAAGGAAAAUCUGUUUCCAGACCUGUCAGACUACAUUUAAGCCCUGGUAAGGUUCCUCGCGUAUCAUCGAAUUAAACCACAUGCUCCACCGCUUGUGCGGGCCCCCGUCAAUUCCUUUGAGUUUCAAACUUGCGUUCGUACUCCCCAGGUGGGAUACUUAUCACUUUCGCUUAGCCACUCAGAUUUGCAUCCGAACAGCUAGUAUCCAUCGUUUACGGCGUGGACUAC
rnacentral:misc_RNA from 1 species